AUGAUUGCUGGGGCCAAGAAGACUGAGCUAUUCCUGGGGACGUCAUACCGCGCUGGCGAAGAACCGCGAGGCCCAGGUACCAUCGAGUGCGAGCCACACAACACAGUCCACGACUGGACCGGUGAGUCGAAGGAGCCCAGCGAAGACAUGGGCAACUUGUACUCCGCGGCACGCGACCCGGUCUUCUUCGCGCACCACGGCAACGUCGACCGCAUGUGGAAUGUCUGGCGCUGCCUUGGCCACACCGACUUCACCGACACCGACUGGCUUGACAGUAACUUUCUGUUUUACGACGAGGAGGCCCGCCUUGUCCGUGUCCACGUCCGUGACUGCCUCGACACGCUGGCCUUGCGCUACACUUACCAGGACGUCCCUCUGCCAUGGUUGACCGCCAAACCAACCGAGGCAGGAGAUACCAACACUCCGGUUACCCCGACCACAGGGGUUCUCCCGGCUGUCUUGGACGGGAUUGUGCGGGUGGACGUGCCUAGGACCAAGGUCUCCAGGAGCCGCUUCCAGAAGGACGAGGAGGAGGAGGUGCUGAUCGUUGAGGGGAUCGAGAUCGCAGACAGCUCAAAGUACGUCAAGUUCGAUGUGCAUGUGAACGCGCCACAACACGAACAACUCAACGCGGCUCACGCACAGUUUGCUGGGAGCGUGGUGCUCCUGCCGCACAUGUCCGGGCAACACGAGGGCAAGACCAAGAUGUCUGCCAGGUUCGGCAUCUCUGACUUACUGGACUCCAUCCGAGCGGACGGCGACAAGAAAAUCAUCGUCUCGCUUGUGCCGAGAAGCGCGGGUGAGGUGGUCACUGUGGGAGCCGUCCGCAUCGGCUACAUCAAAUGA
rnacentral:rRNA from 1 species